CAGUAGCCGCGGUAAUACGUAGGGUGCGAGCGUUAAUCGGAAUUACUGGGCGUAAAGCGUGCGCAGGCGGUUGUGUAAGACAGGUGUGAAAUCCCCGGGCUUAACCUGGGAACUGCGCUUGUGACUGCACAGCUAGAGUAUGGCAGAGGGGGGUGGAAUUCCACGUGUAGCAGUGAAAUGCGUAGAGAUGUGGAGGAACACCGAUGGCGAAGGCAGCCCCCUGGGCCAAUACUGACGCUCAUGCACGAAAGCAUGGGGAGCAAACAGGAUUAGAUACCCCUGUAGUCCCUGUCUCUUAUAC
rnacentral:rRNA from 1 species